CGGGUGAGUAAUGCGUGACCAACCUGCCCCAUGCUCCAGAAUAGCUCUUGGAAACGGGUGGUAAUGCUGGAUGCUCCAACUUGACGCAUGUCUUAUUGGGAAAGUGUUUAGUGGCAUGGGAUGGGGUCGCGUCCUAUCAGCUUGUAGGCGGGGUAAUGGCCCACCUAGGCUUCGACGGGUAGCCGGCCUGAGAGGGCGGACGGCCACAUUGGGACUGAGAUACGGCCCAGACUCCUACGGGAGGCAGCAGCG
rnacentral:rRNA from 1 species